AUUGAACGCUGGCGGCAGGCUUAACACAUGCAAGUCGAGCGAGCGGCGGACGGGUGAGUAAUGUCUGGGAAACUGCCCGAUGGAGGGGGAUAACUACUGGAAACGGUAGCUAAUACCGCAUACCAUCAGAUGCACCCAUAUGGGAUUAGCUAGUAGGUGGGGUAAUGGCUCACCUAGGCGACGAUCCCUAGCUGGUCUGAGAGGAUGACCAGCCAACCUGGGACUGAGACACGGUCCAGACUCCUACGGGAGGGAGCAGUGGGGAAUAUUGCACAAUGGGCGCAAGCCUGAUGCAGCCAUGCCGCGUGUGUGAAGAAGGCCUUAGGGUUGUAAAGCACUUUCAGCGAGGAGGCGUUACUCGCAGAAGAAGCACCGGCUAACUCCGUGCCAGCAGCCGCGGUAAUUC
rnacentral:rRNA from 1 species